ACGCUGGCGGCGUGCCUAAUACAUGCAAGUAGAACGCUGGAGAGAGGAGCUUGCUCCUCUUGGAUGAGUUGCGAACGGGUGAGUAACGCGUAGGUAACCUGCCUUGUAGCGGGGGAUAACUAUUGGAAACGAUAGCUAAUACCGCAUAACAAUGGAUGACCCAUGUCAUUUAUUUGAAAGGGGCAAAUGCUCCACUACAAGAUGGACCUGCGUUGUAUUAGCUAGUAGGUGAGGUAACGGCUCACCUAGGCGACGAUACAUAGCCGACCUGAGAGGGUGAUCGGCCACACUGGGACUGAGACACGGCCCAGACUCCUACGGGAGGCAGCAGUAGGGAAUCUUCGGCAAUGGGGGCAACCCUGACCGAGCAACGCCGCGUGAGUGAAGAAGGUUUUCGGAUCGUAAAGCUCUGUUGUAAGUCAAGAACGAGUGUGAGAGUGGAAAGUUCACACUGUGACGGUAGCUUACCAGAAAGGGACGGCUAACUACGUGCCAGCAGCCGCGGUAAUACGUAGGUCCCGAGCGUUGUCCGGAUUUAUUGGGCGUAAAGCGAGCGCAGGCGGUUUGAUAAGUCUGAAGUUAAAGGCUGUGGCUCAACCAUAGUUCGCUUUGGAAACUGUCAAACUUGAGUGCAGAAGGGGAGAGUGGAAUUCCAUGUGUAGCGGUGAAAUGCGUAGAUAUAUGGAGGAACACCGGUGGCGAAAGCGGCUCUCUGGUCUGUAACUGACGCUGAGGCUCGAAAGCGUGGGGAGCGAACAGGAUUAGAUACCCUGGUAGUCCACGCCGUAAACGAUGAGUGCUAGGUGUUGGAUCCUUUCCGGGAUUCAGUGCCGCAGCUAACGCAUUAAGCACUCCGCCUGGGGAGUACGACCGCAAGGUUGAAACUCAAAGGAAUUGACGGGGGCCCGCA
rnacentral:rRNA from 1 species